rnacentral:lncRNA from 1 species
UCGUAAUUCUUGAAAAUAUUGUUUUUGCUAUCCCUUGCUGGAUGAGGUAGAGUGCUCUUACAUCUUUUAUUCUAUGGACUUCAAGAUUCUUCUUUGCUUCAUUUGAGAGUUGGCUCUCAUUUUCUGGCUCUAUGUAACCUACAUCAAUAAUUGACUAUAGCCCCUAUGAUUGGAGCAUAGUUCUCAUCUUAAUUUUCUAAAAAUCAUAGUUUUCUCCUCCAAA